UAGAGUUUAGGUUAAACAAACUUUAAAUUUUCAAGAUUUAAGAUGGUAAUACAACUCUAG
rnacentral:tRNA from 1 species